CACAACUGAAUAUUCGAUAUUUGGAAUGAUAGUCAUCAUGUUGGCUUGAAACAAAUAGUCUGAUACUCCUACAUGCAUAGGAUUGUAACAGCAUGAAUGUGUAUGAAGCUAGGUAAAGACGGCAGAACAAUGCCUAAGUGAGAUAUCAUACGGCAAAGGAUAUGUCGGGACGCUAUAAA
rfam:Clostridium perfringens D str. JGS1721 gcontig_1108490430283, whole genome shotgun sequence.